AUAGAUUCUCUGUUGAGAUUCAGAGCUUGAAGAUGAAGGUAGUGCUUCACGGGUAAGCACCGGAUUCAGAGAAGGGCUACCUCCUUCUAUUCAAGCAAGAUUUUAUAUUCUUCACUGAAAGACUGCCAAGGUCCUGAAGCCUGGGCUCCCCUGAUCUGAUGCAGGCCCCACCCUCGGGUUCUUGUCAACUGUGCUUUUCCAUUCCGACGUUCUCUCUUGCAGCUUGUGCGUGCAACCCCCUGGAUGUGCUGCUUGUGGUUUUUCCCAAAGCAAAUGCCUAUGAUUUGCUUCCGGGACUCUCCUCUCUUCAGUUCUCGGGCAUGCCGUCUGGAUGUCUCCAACACGAAUCCGGGCUCAGCCAGAAUAAAGAAAGUGACUGAUGUGUUAGCACCAGCUGAAGAAGUAGAUUAAUUGGAG
rnacentral:lncRNA from 1 species